GGAAAAGUGAAAGCGCUCGGUGUCUGGCUCGCCCGGGUCACCAGCCCCCUCCUCAGAUCUCCCAGUCCCUAGGUCUAGGUCAGCUGUUUUUGAGAUUGUAGAUGAUUGUAAAUCUUACCUGGGUUUUUGUGCUGACCUACACCUCCUAAGAGGCAGAGGUGGCAUACUGGAUAAAGUUCUGGGCUUAGAGUCAGGAAGACCUGAAUUCAAAUGUAGCCUCAGACACUUACUAUUGUGACCCUGGUAAACAACAUUUGGAGAGGAGAGAAGCACAAGCUAGAAGCAAGACUGCUUUGAUGAAGGCUCAAAAGCAAUGCCUAAAUUUAAGAAAAACACAAAACAUGCAAACAGAUGCAUCACUGAAAGGAAUUGCAGAACAAUACAUCCAUGUACACAUUAAUCAUAACAGUGAUUUGGAAUGCAAGGAAAUUAGAAAGUAUAUCACUUGUUAAGUGAUUUCCUUCCUUAAAAUAAUAAAAAACCCACCCCAAACAAAAACAAUUAAAAAUCCUAGACUGUAUUUGUCAUGUGUGAAAAACUCCAACUGAUAUCAGUGUGAGCAUUUUAUGUAAGAAAAUUAGUUUUCGUACUUUGUUUCAUCUGCUUUGUUAACCUUCAUCCUGUAAUCCUUCUUCACCACAAAAUAUCAUGUUUUGCUUUAAAACUUAAAUGAACAAUUUCUAUUGUCAGAAACAUUGUUGUCAUCCAGUUAUCAAUAUUUAUGGAUUAGCCCUUGUGAACACAGCACAUUAUUACUAGGAAGUACAAAAAGACUAACAAAAGGUACUGUCCAUGCUCUAAGAGAUCUGAUGAUCCAACUGUCAAAUACAUCAUAGAAACUCAGAGUCUCUAGUCAAGCGUGCAUGUGACCGAGUCACUUGUGCAACAUGGCUGACACAUGGAUGACACAUGGCCAUCCAUCCAUCGUUAGAAGACUUCUAGGAGAUGGAAUGCGCUAGCU